rnacentral:tRNA from 1 species
GGUAAAAUGGCUGAGCGUUUAAGCGGUGGGUUGUAGCCCCAUGCAGAGAGGUUUGACUCUCUCUUUUUAUCA